CCCGCGGCCGUCGCCCCGUCCCCAGCUCGGCUCGCCCCGGCCGCCCGCUCCCCGGGCUCGAGCCCGGCGCCCGGCGGCCGCGUCCCGGCCCCACAGAGCCCGCCCUUUCUGGACUCCGAGGUUCGCGUUUGCUCUUAAUACACAGGAAAUGCACGUCUUGACUUGCGAGGUGGAGCCGUUCGUUCCCUUUCUGCGGUCACCGGGCAAGCGGCUGGCGGAGGCUUCUGGAACCGAGGAGGGAGGAGGGAGGCCGCAGACGGGCCGGGCGGGCGCAAGGGGAGGUCUGCUUCCCAGAGACAGGCUUUAUUUACAACUCGGCGAGCGAGCGGGCGACCGGGCAGGGGGACAGAUGAGCAGCUUCCCCGCGCAGCCGCCCCCAGAGUCUCCGUGGAAGCCUCACAAGCCCGCGCCCCUUUCGCACCUCGGCCUCAGGCUCCAACACCUUUGCGGAGGGGCCGCCCGGGCCUGGUGAGAAACCACAGUUGUCAUCCCGGCUAUGGCCGAGUGGACAAAGCUUCUAAAAAGAGAGGCCCGGCGCUGCGUCGCCCAACAGGCGCACAGUGCCAGCCGGGGUCCCGAGCACUUGUAGCCGGCACCGCGGCCAGAAGAGCCACAUCCCCGCGCCCAGAUGCUGUUGAGACCGGCAGUAACACCCCCUUGGAGUAGUGUCCUCUCAGGAGAGUCAGCCCUGCAAGAGGAGGCUACACAAGACCCAGGACAGACAAAGGGCCUGACAGUAUCUUUCACCAAGGAAUCUAAAAAUUGAUGGACAAAUACUCCAGCAAGGUGGUCGUGUGACGGAGGAAGGUAAAGAGGACGACAGAGAGGAGAAGGAAUAGCCAAGACCCUGACCCCGCCUGCAGUGAGAUUUCAUAGGGCAUCUUCCUGCUCUGCUCACAGAAGCUGUAAUUAGGUUAAAGAUCUCAAGAUGAGACCAUCCCAGAUGGUGGGUCCUAAAUCCAAUGAUGUGUCCUUAAAAGGAACAGAAAGGGAGCAGACACGGAGGAGAGGACCACGUGAAGACAGACACAGAGUUUGGAGUUACACUGCCACAGGCCGAGGAAUAGCUGCAGCCACCAGAAACUGGAAUAGGCAAGCAAACAAGAAUUCUCCCCAUGGAGUCUUGGGAAGGACUGCCGCCUCCCCACCCCCCAACAGACAUCUUGAUUUCAGACUUUUGGUCUCCUGACUGGGAGAGAAAAAUUUCUGCUGUCCUAAGCCACCACAAUUGCAGUCGUCUGUUACGGCUGCGCUAGGAAACUGAUACAGUCCCCAGACCAUGCACACACGCAUUGUUUCCCAUCUCUGGACUUUUGUACCUGCUAUUCCUGUGUCUAAAACACCUUUCUCAACUCUUGUCCACUUGGGGAAAUCCUAUGUAGCCUUCGAAUCCAGCUCAGAUGUACUCUAUGAAGUUUCCUGUGUUCUGCAUAAAAGAAUACCUUCACUUUGUAAACGAGUAAGAAAAAUGAACAGAAAAUUAAAGGGAGAACUACAAAUGCUCAAAGGACAUACAGCAGGACAUUUGUAAGGUGACCCAAGGGACUGCAAAAAGUGAGUCAACGUAUGGAGAUGGGCAACAUAAGGAUCGAGGUCUACUGGCUGAUACGUACACAUGGUGCAUGUCUGGUCUAUGAAAUGAGGUCACCUUAAGGAGGUAGUCGAUGUAGAGAAGAGGUCAACUAGGGAGGUUCUACUGUAUUUUUUUUUUUUUUUUUCUCAUUUGUAACUAAAGGAAAUGCAAACUUCCAUUUUUGAAAACAUUUCCUAUCAAAUUGGCAAGGAUUUUAAAAUAAUAAUAAUAAUAUUAACACUAUCCAGCGUUGUCAGAGAACAGGUAUGCUCAGAAACUCUUGGAGGGCGCACAUAACAGGCACAACCUUUCUAGAGGCAACUUGGUGACUGGUAUCAAGAGCUUUCAUGGUUGGUACAGCUUUUAAUCCAGCAUAAUAUAAGACUAUGAUCUAUGAUACUAAUUAUAAAUGUACAUAAAGUUAUGUCACAGAAAUGUUUAAAAUUAUAAGGUAUUAGUUGAGUAAAUUAUUAGAUUUCUACAAGAUGAACAUCUAUGUAGCCAUUAAAACUAGGCGUACAUGGAUGAUGUACAUCAUCUUAAUGAGUGAAAAAGGAGAUUAAUGACCAUAAGAUAUGAUAUAGUGUACACAGAAGAAAGUCUGGAAGGCUACAAGAUGAAACAAUUAUAGAGCAUUCUGGUUCUGGAAAUUUGGAAGGAAUUAACACACGGUCUCUGCCCUCUAGGACGCUAGCAGACUCCCAAUAUCCAUCUUUCUUGCUUGCUCACCAUACUCUGAUUUGAUAUGUGGUAACAAUGAACCCAGUCCCAGGCAAGAUACCCACUUUCUGUCUGUCUUACAAUUAGGACAAUUGGCUGUCUGUUAUGGUUCUGGUCAAUGAAAUGCAAGUGAAGUAUGCCAGAGCCUCUGGCAAGGCCUUUACUUUGAUGAUUAAAAGGGUUGCCUUGAACUCAGAUGUGAUGACCAGAGCUAUAGUGGCCACAUUGCUGCCAUGAGGAAAAGCUCAAGAAAGAACAGAGAUAUUUCUCUGAUGCUAUUUAGCUACCAAGUCACACUAAGAAUAUUCCUGUUUCGUACCAAAUGGGAAAUAUGAGCCCCUAUGUACUGGAUUUUCUGCUACUUAAAAUGAACACAUUUCCCAAGUGAUAUCCAUACCGCCCAGAAGAGGAAGAUAGUCCAAUAAGCAAUAAAACCUGGAUGCUAUAAACAACAGAACCUCACAGGCACAGGAGGCGGUAGGCAACAGUCAAGGUGAAGAGAUAGCUGGAAAGUCUUCAGUGAUACUCUAAGGAAGAUGGUUUAUCACUAUAGCUAAGGAUGAAGACCCUGGGGUUAGAUGGCUUUGGUUCAAAUCCAUGUGCCACCACUUCCCAACCUCUCUGUGCUUCAGAAGAAUGGCUGGUACAAUGCAGCCACUUAUAGAUACUGGCUAAACAAAUGCACCAGAAAGGGGGAAUAACACAGGGACCACCAAGAGGAUUAAAUUGGACAACGCAUGUGAAACACUUAGCACAUAGUAAGCACCCAAUAAAUCUUAGCUGCUAUCAUUAAUAUUAUUAAUUGAAUCUUGAAAGAUGCAUGGGUGCAUGCCAGGUGGUUGGGGGACGGGA